AUGGAGUCUAAGGAUGCUACAUUCUUCGAGGAUACUUUUCCUAUGAGAGAUAUGCAAAGCACUCCUAGACAGGAAUCUGAGGAGACUCCUGAACCUGCCAUCCCUAUGGAAUAUUAUGAACAAACACAUGAUGAAAAUCCUGAGGAGGAUGACGAGGAAACCCUUGGUAGGGGCAAGAGACAAAGGACUGCAAAGACCUUUGGUGAUGAUUUCUUCGUGUACCUCGUGGAUGAUACUCCCACUUCUAUUUCAGAAGCGUAUGCCUCUUCAGAAGCUGACUACUGGAAGGAUGCGGUCCGUAAUGAGAUGGGUUCCAUCAUGGCUAACGGGACAUGGGAGAUCACUGAGCGUCCCUAUGGUUGCAAACCAUUAGGAUGUAAGUGGGUGUUCAAGAAGAAGCUUAGGCCCGAUGGUACGAUUGAAAAGUACAAGGCUAGGCUUGUGGCCAAGGGCUAUGACCAGAAAGAAGAGGAAGAUUACUUCGACACUUAUUCACCUGUAGCUAGACUGACCACCAUUCGAGUAUUACUCUCGUUGGCAGCCUCGCAUGGUCUUCUCGUCCACCAGAUGGAUGUUAAGACGGCUUUUCUGAAUGGAGAGCUAAAAGAGGAAAUCUACAUGCAACAGCCAGAUGGCUUUGUGAUAGAUGGUCAGGAAAGAAAGGUGUGUAGGUUGCUGAAAUCUUUAUAUGGCCUGAAGCAAGCACCUAAGCAAUGGCAUGAUAAGUUUAAUACAACUCUGACAUCUGUUGGUUUCGUUGUUAAUGAGGCUGACAAAUGUGUAUACUAUCGCCAUGGUGGGGGCGAAGGAGUUAUACUGUGCUUGUAUGUUGAUGACAUACUGAUAUUCGGAACCAACCUCAAAGUCAUUGAGGAGGUCAAGUCGUUUUUGUCUCAAAACUUUGAGAUGAAAGACCUUGGUGUGGCUGAUGUUAUCUUGAACAUCAAGCUACUGAGAGAUAAUGAGGGUGGGAUUACACUUCUGCAAUCCCACUAUGUUGAGAAGGUGUUGAGUCGUUUUGGAUAUUCGGACUGCACACCAUCUCAAACACCAUAUGAUCCUAGCGUGUUGAUUCGAAAGUCCAAAGGCACGGCUAUAAAUCAGUUGAGAUACUCUCAAAUCAUUGGUUCACUGAUGUACCUAGCGAGCGCAACGAGGCCCGACAUCGCGUUUGCUGUGAGCAAACUGAGCCGGUUUGUUUCCAAACCGGGUGAUGUACAUUGGCAUGCUGUUGAACGAGUCAUGCGCUAUCUGAAAGGUACUAUGAACUAUGGACUUCACUAUACCGGAGACCCGUCGGUACUUGAAGGGUAUAGUGAUGCAAAUUGGAUCACUGAUGCUGAUGAGAUGAAGGCCACAACUGGGUAUAUGUUUACUCUUGGAGGUGGCGCUGUUUCCUGGAAGUCUUGCAAGCAAACGAUCUUAACGAGAUCGACAAUGGAAGCAGAAUUAACGGCAUUAGACACAUCUGGUGUUGAAGCGAGAUGGCUUCGAGAUCUUUUGAUGGACUUGCCAUUGGUUGAUAAACCGGUUCCGGCUAUCCUUAUGAACUGUGACAAUCAGACUGUCAUCACCAAGGUGAAGAGUUCGAAGGACAACAUGAAGUCCACCAAACACAUAAGAAUGAGAUUAAAAGCUGUCAGAAAAUUAAGAAACUCCGGAGUGAUAGCGUUGGACUAUGUCCAUACGGCUAAGAAUCUGGCAGAUCCCUUUACGAAAGGGCUAUCACGUGUUGUGAUAGAUAAUGCAUCGAGGGAGAUGGGUAUGAGACCCACAUGA
rnacentral:rRNA from 1 species